rnacentral:tRNA from 1 species
GCGAGAGUAGUUCAGUGGCAGAACACGAGCCUUCCAAGCUUGAAACGACGGUUCGAUUCCGUUCUCUCGCU